rnacentral:lncRNA from 1 species
GUGUUUUGCUUUCAUGGAGAUGGAUGAAAUUAAACCUGGGCCAAUUGUAAUAGAACUAUACAAGAAACCCACUGACUUUAAAAGAAAGAAAUUGCAAUUAUUGACCAAGAAACCACUUUAUCUUCAUCUACAUCAAACUUUGCACAAGGAAUGAUCCUGACAUGAUGAACCUGGAACUUCUGUGAAUUUUACCACUCAGUAGAAACCAUCAUAGCUCUGUGUAGCAUAUUCACCCUUCAACAGGCAGGAAGCAAGCCGUACCCAGACCAGUAGGCCGGACGGAGUCCAAUGCAAAGCUGUACCACAGAAUUCAGAGUCCAGCACAUCACACUGACGUAUAGGACUCCUUGGGAUACAGGUUUAUUGUAGAUUUUGAAACAUGUUUUUACUUUUCUAUUAAUUGUGCAAUUAAUAGUCUAUUUUCUAAUUUACCACUACUCCUACCCUGCUUCCUGGAACAAUACUGUUGUGGGUAGGAUGUGCUCAUCUUCAGACUUAAUACAGCAAUAAGAAUGUGCUAGAGUUUACACAUCUGUUCACUUUUGCUCCAAUAUGCUCUUUUGACUUAACGUCAAGCUUUGGGUUGAUGUGGGUAGGGUAGUGUCAAACUGCUUUGAGAGGAAUGGGACCAGUUCUGCUGCCUAAGAAGGUCUGUCUGGAUGUUUAUAGGCAGCACCUCUGAAGUGGCCUAAAUUCACCCUGAUCUGAUAGUUUUCCUGCUUAGAAAGUGUGCCUUGGCCAGAUCAGUAUCCCACAUGGGAGUGUUCCCUAGGUUGUAGCUGUGAUUGUUUCCAGAUGACCAGAUUGUUUUUCUGAAAAUGAGCAUAUUUUUAGUCAUGUCGAUUAGCUGUUCUUCUACAUCACAUUGUUACUCUUUCUGAUGAUGAUUCUAGGGUUAACAUUGGAACCAUCUCAAAAUAAUUACAAAGUUUUAGAUGGGUUUACAAUGUCUUCUAAACAAUGUAAUCUAAAAAUAAUUGAGUCAGAUGCUAACGAGAUACUGCAGGCAUAACUGCUGUUUUUCUGACAACUGAUUGUGAAACCUUAAAACCUGCAUACCUCUUCUUACAGUGAGGAGUAUGCAAAAUCUGGAAAGAUAUUCUAUUUUUUUUAUAUAGGUAGAUAGGAUCGCCAUUUAUUUCCUAUUUAGAUAUACUGACAUUCAUCCAUAUGAAAAUAUGCAGGUCAUUAGCUUACUAUAAUUUACUUUUGACUUAAUGGGGCAUAAAUAAAACUUUCAUAGUACACAUGAGGUGGAUAUUUGAUACACAGAACAUUUGCGGUGGGCUUUCUGUGGGUUAGAUGUAAAGCCCACAUAUUUUAAUAUUCACUAUUUUAAAUGAGCAAUGCAUGAGGGGAAUGCAGUGUCAGUACCUGGCCUAUUUUUAAACUAGUGUAAUCACCCUAGUCAUACCAUUCAGUAUGUUUGCUUUUUAAAAUAAGUAACCACAACUAAGUUGUUGUAGCCCUUGCACUUCAAGAGAUCUAGUCUUUACUUUCAGUUGUCUGUUAGGUCCAUUCUGUUUACUAGACGGAUGUUAAUAAAAACUAUGCGAGCCUGAAUGAAUUCUCA